GCAGACUCUAAAAACACAAUGACAAGUCCAUAGCAUGCAAUGCAGCUUUGACAGAGGUAUCAGGUAUGACCUUAGGCUUUCCAUGAAGAGAGGGGCGGUGUCUCAGAGUUCUUCCAUGUCGCUAUGCCGCUUGUAUAUCGAUCACCUUUGACCAAAUCAGCUGAAGCAAGGGCUUCGAGCUCAGCCAGUUCUUCAGGUGUGAGUUUUACCGAUAAAGCUCCAAUGUUCUGGUCCAGGUUUUCAAUCUUAGUCGUUCCGGGAAUUGGACAUACAUCGUUCCCUUGGUGGUGAACCCAGGCCAGAGCCAGCUGCGAUGAGGUGCAUCCUUUUCUUUCUGCCAUUGCGCUAACAUUCUCAAACACAGUUCUAUUGUGCUCUAGAUUCUCGCCUUGGAACCGUGGCAAAUGCUUCCGGAAAUCAUUAUUUUCGAGACCGUCAAGGAGCUUGGGCCCAGAUGAGAAGAAACCUCGUCCAAGA
rnacentral:misc_RNA from 1 species